rnacentral:misc_RNA from 1 species
CCAAGCCAAAGGUGAGCAGCCUCAUGUGCAAGAGUGAAGACCUGUGCCGCCCGACUAUCAUGGCUAUUCACAAAAAUCAGGGGGGCAAUUUCGUCCACUAGUGCGAAGCCUCGAAACUCGUCGAGGUCAAGCGUGCGCUUGUUGUCGUUUCCGACGACGCCAUUCACAUUAACCAGAAUGCCGAUGGCCUCUAGUUGCGUAAUCAGCAGCUUGCGGGCUUGCUCCCAGGUACUCGGUUUCGAUUCAGCCCGAUCCAAAGC